AUGCAUCGUUGGAUAAUAUCAAGUUGUACAUUGAUCCAUGUGCGAGGAGUGCGGCUGAAGUGGCUCAAGACCGAGAUGGCGGCAAGCGACACGAGAUCGGGUCGGAGGCCGCGGCGGCUUGCGGCAGGGGAAGAGGACAAGGCCGGGCGGCUCAGCAGCACGGCGGCUCGAAGCCAACUCGGAGCAGAAGUGGUGAUGGUGACUCAGAGCGAAUCCAAGAGGAGGCGAGGCCAGCGAAGCGGCCACAAUGACGAGGCAGCAGGGGCUUCGAGGCCUACUCCGGCGAGGCUGGUCACAGCAGCCCGCGGCGGAAACGGUAUUCGGAGCGAUGGCUCUGGACAGAGGCGGCGCUCGAAAACGGCUCCGGACGGAGUCGGCGACUUGGAUCAGAGCAGCAGGCCAUGGCGAUGA
rnacentral:rRNA from 1 species